rnacentral:tRNA from 1 species
GGAGGGGUGACGGAGCGGUCGAACGUGCCGGUCUUGAAAACCGGAGUGGUGAAUGCCACCGUGGGUUCGAAUCCCACCCCCUCCGCCA